UUGGAGGGCAAGUCUGGUGCCAGUAGCCGCGGUAAUUCCAGCUCCAAUAGCGUAUAUUAAAGUUGUUGCAGUUAAAAAGCUCGUAGUUGAAUUUCGGGAUCAAUUUAUUGGUCGUGCUAUUGUACGUACUGGUAUUAUUGAUUCCUACCUUCUGACGAACCAUGAUGUCAUUAAUUUGGUGUCAUGGGGAAUCAGGACUGUUACUUUGAAAAAAUUAGAGUGUUUAAAGCAGGCUCACGCUUGAAUACAUUAGCAUGGAAUAACGAAAUAGGACGUUUGAUUCUAUUUUGUUGGUUUCUAGGAUCGACGUAAUGAUUAAUAGGGAUAGUUGGGGGCAUUAGUAUUCAAUUGUCAGAGGUGAAAUUCUUGGAUUUAUUGAAGACUAACUACUGCGAAAGCAUUUGCCAAGGAUGUUUUCAUUAAUCAAGAACGAAAGUUAGGGGAUCGAAGACGAUCAGAUACCGUCGUAGUCUUAACCAUAAACUAUGCCGACUAGGGAUCGGAUGAUGUUAAUUUUUUAAUGACUCAUUCGGCGCCUUACGGGAAAC
rnacentral:rRNA from 1 species